CGGUAAUCAGCAGAUCAAGUGCAGGUGGGAGUCAUCUAAUCAGCUACUCCGGCUCCUCUAUAAAACCUGAGGCCAUUCUAUGUCCUGUGCCGGACCGUGAAGCUUAUUCCAGUUACUGCUGAAAACACCUGCUGCCAGCCUCGCUUCCUCUAAAACCUGCCAUGCCACCUGAGACGCCAUUAACGCCACCUUCCAACGCUUGGCAACCAGUCUUACCUCCACGGAUGCCGGCACUCCACCACUGGCUACUGGAACAACUGGGAAGCGAUUCGUUCCUCCCACCUGGACUGGCUGGAUGAGGGCACCCAGUAUUGACUUUCCACCAUCUCCGUCAGUUAAGAUCCUGUCAUUAGUCCACCAAACCACUAGAGGGUAUCUCGAUCCGCUCAGCCUUUGGCGGCCUUGGUUGAUCCGUUUCCAGCUCCGUCUAGUUCCGGUUUACUUUUGUAGUUCUUGUGAUUUUUUUUUUUUUUUUGUCCUUAUUUCCUGUUGGAAAUAAAAGCAUUUAAAAAUCA